rnacentral:rRNA from 1 species
UAGGGAAUCUUCGGCAAUGGGGGCAACCCUGACCGAGCAACGCCGCGUGAGUGAAGAAGGUUUUCGGAUCGUAAAGCUCUGUUGUAAGAGUAGAACGUGUGUGAGAGUGGAAAGUUCACACAGUGACGGUAACUUACCAGAAAGGGACGGCUAACUACGUGCCAC